rnacentral:rRNA from 1 species
CCUACGGGAGGCAGCAGUGAGGAAUAUUGGUCAAUGGGCGCGAGCCUGAACCAGCCAAGUCGCGUGAGGGAAGACGGUCCUAUGGAUUGUAAACCUCUUUUGUCGGGGAGCAAAAGACGCCACGCGUGGCGUUCCGCGAGUACCCGAAGAAAAAGCAUCGGCUAACACCGUGCCAGCAGCCGCGGUACUACGGGGGAUGCGAUCGUUAUCCGGAUUUAUUGGGUUAAAGGGGUGCGCAGGCGGAAGAUCAAGUCAGCGGGAAAAUUGAGAGGCUCAACCUCUUCGAGCAGUUGAAACUGGUUUUCUUGAGUGAGCGAGAGGGAGGCGGAAUGCGAGGUGUAGCGGUGAAAUGCAUAGAUAUCACGCAGAACUCCGAUUGCGAAGGCAGCAUACCGGCGCUCAACUGACGCUCAUGUACGAAAGUGUGGGUAUCGAACAGGAUUAGAUACCCCUGUAGUC